rnacentral:lncRNA from 1 species
UGCCGGUUCUCCAGUCCACUCCAUAACGAACAACGUAUGUCCUUCGUUUGCCUCAUUCUACCCGUAUGCCACUCACGCUUAUCACUGCAGUAUGAGAGAGAAGUGGAAGAAAAAGAGGUCUCGGAGACUCCGUCGCAAACGCAGAAAAAUGCGGGCUCGCUCUAGUAUGUCUCUUCACCCUCUGAUCGCGCGACCACCUCGCUGAUAUUGUCGGCUUCACCUUACGCAGAGUAAUCGCCCAAGCGGCUUCUAGGCUUGCAAAAUAGGGAUGGCAUGUCACUUCAAGUGGUGUAUUAUGCCCUACUCUUCGACGUCUGGGAAGUCAUGCCGACCCAGUCGCGUCGCCUCACGCCGCCCACCUCAGACCCGGGGAGUGGUGUCUCGAUUAGGUCAGGACGUCGAGGCAGCUAUGGUGCAUUGUAACAAUAGUUCCUGCUUGUCACUUGUAUUGCAAUGAUCUACUUGCCGACA